GACGUAGGGCGCGAGCGUUGUCCGGAUUUAUUGGGCGUAAAGAGCUCGUAGGCGGCUUGUCGCGUCGGCUGUGAAAACCCGCGGCUCAACUGUGGGCGGGCAGCUGAUACGGGCAGGCUGGAGUUCGGUAGGGGGAGACUGGAAAUUCCUGGUGUAGCGGUGAAAAUGCGCAGAUAUCGGGAGGAACACCAGCGGCGAAGGCGGCACUCUGGGCUGGGUACUGACGCUGAGGGAGCGAAAAAGCGUGGG
rnacentral:rRNA from 1 species